rnacentral:rRNA from 1 species
CUGCAUAAUUGCAGUAACAGAGGUCGACGGCGGCUCAGAUUGAACGCUGGCGGAUGCUUUUACACAUGCAAGUCGAACGGCAGCACGGACUUCGGUCUGGUGGCGAGUGGCGAAUGCGUGAGUAAUGUAUCGGAACGUGCCUAGUAGCGGGGGAUAACUACGCGAAAGCGUAGCUAAUACUGCAUACGCCCUUCGGGGAAAGCGGGGGGACCUUUCGGGCCUUCACUAUUAGGAGCGGCCGAUAUCGGAUUAGCUAGUUGGUGGGGUAACGGCUCACCAAGGCGACGAUCCGUAGCUGGUUUGAGAGGACGACCAGCCACACUGGGACUGAGACACGGCCCAGACUCUACGGGAGGCAGCAGUGGGGAAUUUUGACGAUGGGGAAACCCUGAUCCAGCCAUCCCGCGUGUGCGAUGAAGGCCUCGAAGUUGUAAAGCACUUUUGGCAGGAAAGAACGGCACGGGAUAAUACCCUCGUGCAACUGACGGUACCUGCAGAAUAAGCACCGCCAACUACGUGCCAGCAGCCGCGGUAAUACGUAGGAUGCAAGCGCGUUAAUCGGAAUUACCGGGCGUAGUAAGCGUGCGCAGGCGGUUCGGAAAGAAAGAUGUGAACCCAGAGCUUAAUCUUGGAAACUGGGCUUUAUCCACUGAGCUAGAGUGUGUCAGAGGGAGGUGGAAUUCGCGUGUAGCAGUGAAAUGCGUGAGAUACAGUGCGGAGGAACACCGAUGGCGAAGGCAGCCUCCUGGGAUAACACUGACGCUCAUGCACGAAAGCGUGGGGAGCAAACAGGAUUAGAUACCCUGGUAGUCCACGCCCUAAACGAUGUCAACUAGCUGCUGGGGUUUCGGGCCUUGGUAGCGCAGCUUAACGCGUGAAGUUGACCGCCUGGGGAGUACGGUCGCAAGAUUAAAACUCAAAGGAAUUGACGGGGACCCGCACAAGCGGUGGAUGAUGUGGAUUACCCGAUGCAACGUGCGAAAAACCUUUACCCACUCCUUGACAUGUCUGAAUCCCGAAGAGAUUUGGGUAGUGGCUCGCAAGAGAACUCGGAACAGGUGCUGUAUGGUUGCCGCCGCCUGUAAGCCGAGAUGUUGGGUUAAGUCCCGCAACGAGCGCAACCUCCUUGUCAUUAGUUGCUACGAAAGGGCACCUCCUGUAUCGAGAUCGCCGGUGACAAACCGGAGGAAGGUGGAUGACGUCGUCCUCAUGGCCUCGAAGGUGGGUGGGGCUUCACACGUCAUACAAUGGCCGGGACAGAGGGUCGCCAACCCGCGAGGGGGAGCCAAUCCCAGAAACCCGAUCGUAGUCCGAUCGGCAGUCUGCAACUCGACUGCGUGAAGUCGGAAUCGCCGCAAUCGCGGAUCAGCAUGUCGCGGUGAAGAUGUUCCCGGGCCUUGUACACACCGCCCGUCACACCAUGGGAGUGGGUUUUACCAGAAGUAGUUAGCCCAACUGUAAGGAGGGCGAUUACCACGGUAGGAUUCAUGACUGGGGUGAAGUCGUAACAAGGUAA